rnacentral:ribozyme from 13 species
AAAAAAGAAAAAAGAGAAAAGAAAAAGAAAAAGAAAUGGGUUUGUUGGGUGGGUUUGUUGUUUGUGUUUGUUUGUUUGUUUUGGGAUCUGAUGCAUUGGUGUUUCCAAAAGAGCACCAAGCUCUGGUUGAUCUUUAUGA